GACGAAGGGGGCUAGCGUUGUUCGGAAUUACUGGGCGUAAAGCGUGUGUAGGUGGUUGUCAUAGUCAGGCGUGAAAGCCUUGAGCUCAACUCAAGAAAUGCGCUUGAUACUGGGCAGCUAGAGGACCGGAGAGGAUAGUGGAAUUCCCAGUGUAGUGGUGAAAUGCGUAGAUAUUGGGAAGAACACCUGAGGCGAAGGCGGGUUGCUGGGCUGAUACUGACGCUGAGGCGCGAAAGCCAGGGGAGCAAACGGG
rnacentral:rRNA from 1 species